AAGAAAUCUGGCUAUGUUAAUAGAGAUUCUUUACAGACGCAAAUUUUCCCCCAUAAAGAACAGCUUCGCAGGGCCAUUCCAAGAAACAUGUGUUGGGCUUCUUGCCUGAAGGCAGCAAGAUCCCAGUUGGCACCUCCCAGGGCAUCUUGAAAUCAAAUAGAAACUUGCAGUCUUACUGGCUUGGGGAAAUCAAAGGAUAAAACUCAGAGCUAUCACCACAGCUGAAAAGUGCUGAGAGAAAGCAUUAAAAGGAGAGAGCCAUGGAAGAGGAGCUCCAAAUUCAGAAUAUAAACUCUGUAAAUCUCUCAACGCCCCUGAACUAUGCAUGUAUGAGACAGACUUCAAGCAGCCUAUGUAAGACUAAAAGAAUUAGACAAAAUGUCAGCUGUUUCUCACCACAGCUAUGACAGAUUUUUGGAAUUUGAGUUCAACCAAGUUAAUUUUCUGCUUAAAUAGAACUUUUUUUUUUGACACAAAGUCUCGCUCUGUCACCCAAGCUGGAGGUCAGUGGCACAAUCAUAGCUCACUGCAACCUCAAGCUUAUGGGCUCAAGCAAUCCUUGGCCUCAGCCUCCCAAGUAGCUGGGACUACAGGUACAUGCCACCAUGUCUAACUUGUCUUUUAAUUUUUAGUAGAGAGGAAGUCUCCCUGUGUUGCCCAGGCUGGUCUCAAACUCCUGCGCUCAAGUAAUUCUCCCACCUUGGCUUCCCAAAGUGCUGGGAUUAUAGGUGUAAGUCACUGCACCUGGCCUAAAACAAAAAUUUAAAUCUCUUCAGAGGAACCAUAAGAGAAGCCAUAGGCUGUAUAGCACGUUGUCCACAAUGUCCAGAAUAAAAUAAAAAUCACUAGACAUACAGGUGAGUGUGUGUGCACACUCAUGCACACACAAACAGGAAAUGGCACUCCAUAUACAAAAGACAAAGGCAGCCCAUGGAGAUUGAUCCUAAUAUAACCAACACGUUGGAUUUAACAGAUGAAGAUUUUUAAAGCAGCAAAUGAAACUAUGUUCAAAGAUGCAAAGAAAAUAAGCUCCUAAUGAAUUGACAAAUAGGAAAUCUUUGCAGAGAAAUAGAAACAUUAAAUAUACCAAGCUCACAAUUACAACAUGUAAAAUAAAAAAUUCACUGGAUGGGCUUAAUAGAAUAUUGAAAAUGUUAGAAGAAAGAACCUGUGAUUUUGAAAAAAAGAUUAAUCAACAUAAUUCAAUCUCAAGAAAAAAAUUUAACCUAUCGGAUAAUAUCAAAAGGUAUAACAUAAAUAUAAUUGGGUCUCCAAAAAAAGAGAGAAAGAAUGAAGCAAAAAUUAAGGUUUUUUGAAAAACAAGGGCCAAAAUGUCCCCAAAUUUAGUGAAAUAAAUAAAUAUGUAUAUAUAUAUAUAUAUAUAUAUAUACACACACACACACACACACACACACACACACACACACACAUAUAUGCUAUGUGGAGAUACAUACAAAAAAUAUGCAAAUACAAAUAUAUAUGCAAAUACAAAAAUAUAUUCAGAAAAAACACCAUGAACAAGUAGGUUUAUCACAAGAAUGCAAUGUUGAUUUAACAUAUUAAAAUUGUCAAUGUCACAUGUAUAUCUCUACAUGCAUAUAUAUAUAUACACACAUAUGUGUGUGUGUAUGUGUGCAUAUACAUUACAAUCAAACUUCUGAAAUCAGAGGUUAAAAAAAUUAUUGGCUGGGCAUGGUGGCUCAUGCCUAUAAUCCCAGCAUUUUGGGAGACUAAGGUGGGAGGAUUGCUUGACGCCAGGAGUUCGAGACCAGCUUGAGCAACAUAGUGGACCCCCAUUUGUGAAAAAAAAAAAAAAAAAAAAAAAAAAAAAAAACCAGCCAAAUAAAAAUGAUAAAUUAAAGUCUGGGUAUGGUGGCUCAUGCUUGUAAUCCCAGCACUUUGGAAGACUGAGGCAGACAUAUCGCUUCAGCUCAUGAGUUUGAGACUAGGCUGAACAACAUAGCAAAACCCCAUCUCUACUAAAAAUAAAAAAAUUAGCCGGGUGUGGUGGCAUGCACCUGUGGUCCCAGCUACUUGGAGGGCUGAGGUGGGAGGCUCGCUUGAGCUUGAGAGGUGAAGGUUGCAGUAAGCUGAGAUCACAUCACUGCACUCUAGCAUGGGUGACAGAGGGAGACCCUAUCUCAAAAAAAGAUAAAUUGCGUAGAAGGGAAUAAGAAUAUAAAUGAUGGCCAACUUUUCAUCAGAUAAACAUAGGCCAGAAAAUAAUGGAACCACACAGUUAAAGUGCGGGGGUAGGGGGAACACUGUCAACCUAGAAUUUGAUAUCCAAACAAAAUAUUCUCCAAGAAUGAAAGUAAGAAAAAUAUUUUCAGGCAAAUAAAAACUACCUGAGUUCAUUGCUGGCAGAUCUACAUUAUAAGAAAUGCUAAGGCAUGAGAAAAUAAAGCCAAAACUAAUGAAAGAGAAAGCAGACAAACAACAGACAAAUAACAGAGCCAAAAUAUGGUUCUUUAAAAAUACGAAUAAAAACUAUAUACCUCUACCUGGACGAAGAAAGGAAAAAAGAAGACACAAAUUAGCAAUAUCAAGAAUGAAAUCAGGGACACCAGUAUAGAGCCAAUAGACAUUUAAAACAUAAUAAGGCAAUAUAUGAAUACUUUAUGCCAAUAAAUUUGUCAAUUUGGAUAAAAUGGAAUAAUCCUUUGAAAAAUAAAAAUAACACACAAUGAAAAAAUGUUACUAGCCUUAUACUUAGUAAAGAAAUUGAACGUAUUAUCAAAAAUCUUCACACAAAGAAAAUUCUAGACUCAGAUAGUUUCUUUGUUGAUUCUGUCAAACAUUUGAGAAAGAAAUGACAUCAAAUAUAGACAAACUCUUUCUAAAACACAAGAGAAGAGAACACUGUCUGAAUCACUUUUAUGAGGCCUAUAUAAAUUUGAUACCAAAAAACUAGCAAAUAUAUUACAAUAAAAGAAAACUACAGAAUAUCCCUCAUGAACCUAAACAAACUACUAGCAAAUCAAAUACAAAAAUACAUGCAAAAGUUCAUAUUCCAUGAAGAAGUAGGUGUAUCACAAGAGUGCAAUGUUGAUUUAACAUAUUAAAUUGUCAAUGUAAUCCACCAUAUUAACAAAACGAAAGAGAAGACAAAUAUGUAAUCAUUUCAUAAGCAGAAACAUUAUUUCCCUAAGUUCAACUGCCAUUUAUGAUAAUGGUGAAAUAUUGUCCUCUUUUAUUAUCAAGAACAAGCUAAAAAUGUUUACUGUCACCACUUCUGUUCAACAUUGUACUGGAGGUCCUAGGCAGUAAAAUAAAACAAAAUGAAAUAAUAGGCAUAAAGAUUGAAAAUUAAGAAGUAAAACUCCCUUUGUGUAUAAAUGACAUCAUUGUUUGCAAAGAGAAUCCUGAGGAAUUUAUGUAAAAAUAGCAAGGUCACAGAAUACAAGAUCAAUCUGAAAAAAUCAAUUAUAUUUCGAUUUACUACCAGCAAAAAAAAAGUUUAAAAACCAAUUUUAUUUAUAAUGAUAUCUAGAACAUUAAAUACUUAGAAAUAAGGUUAACAAAAGGUAUUUAAUAACUCUAUGCAGAAAACUAUGAAUUUAGAAGACCUAAAUACAUGGAGAGGCAUUUCAUGUUCAUAAGUUGAAAAACCCAAUGCUUUUAUAAUAUACAGUCUCCUCAGAUUGAUCUAUAGAUUCAAUGCAAUCUGACUGAUAAUUAGGUCAAGUUUUCAGAGAAACUGACAUAUUGAUUCUGACAUUUAUAUGGAAAUACUAAGGUCCUAGGAUCUCUAAAUUAAUACUGACAAGACAGAAUAUGAGGACUUCCACAACCUGAGUUUGAGGCUCCAGUAGCCAAGCUAAUGUACACAAAGCAAGUUUAUGCAAAUACAUGAAUAAAACACAACAGGCAGCCUAGACCUAGACUCACACCUAUAAGGUUACUUAAUGACUGACAAAGCCACCGAAGCUCCAAUGGGAAAAGUAAGCGCUUUUCUAGAAAUGAUGCUGGAAAAAUAGAUAUCCAUAUGGGGAAGAAAAUGAAUCUCAAUUCCUAUCUCAACUCAUGCACAAAAUUAAUUCAAUAUGGAUGAUAGACCUAAACAUAAUACAGCUAAAAUUAUAGUAGUCCCCCUUUAACCACAGUUUUGCUUUCCAUGGUUUCAGUUACCCUCAGCCAACCAAAGGGACAUGUGGCUCAUCAUCCACUCACAUCCAAAAAACUAAAAGAGAAAUUUUAGAAAUAAAUAAUUCAUCCCUUUUUAAAAAAAUUUUUUUGAGACAGAAUCUCACUCUGUCACCCAGGCUGGAGUGCAAUGGCGCAGUCUUGGCUCACUGCAGCCUUGGUCUCUCAGGCUCAAGCAAUCCUCCAACCUCAGCCCCCUGAGUAUCUGGGACUAUAGACAUGCACCACCACGCCUGGUUAAUUUUUGUAUUUUUUGUAAAGAUAGGAGUUCGCCAUGUUGCCCAGGCUGGUCUUGAACUCCCGGGCUCAAGUGGUCUACUCACAUCAGCCUCCCAAAGUGCUGGGAUUACUGGUGUGAGCCACUGCACCUGGCCAACUCAUACGUUUUAAAUUGUGUGCUGUUCUGAGUAGCAUGAUGAAAUCUCAGGCCAUCUGUCCCGUCCCUCCUAGGAUGUGAAUCAUCCCUUUGUCUCGUGGAUCUACACUGUAGAUGCUACCUGCCUAUGGGUCAUUUAGUAGCCAUCUGGGUUAUCAGAUCAACUGCCGUGACAUCACAGUGCUGAUGUUCAAGUAACCCUUAUUUUAGUUCGUAAUGGCCCCAGUGUGCAAGAAUAGUGGUGCUGGCAUAUCAUUAUAAUUGUCUGUUUUAUUAUAAUUUGCUGUAAUCUCUUCCUGUGCCUAAUUUAUAAAUUAAACUUUAUAAUAAUAUAAUAUUAUAUAUAAUAUAAUAUAAUUUAUAAAUUAAACUUUAUAAUAAUACAUAUAGGAAAACAACACAGUAUAUAUACAGUUCUUUAGUAUCCAUGGUUUCAGGUAUCCACUGGGGGGUCUUGGAAUAUGUCCCCAGCAGAUAAGCAGGGUAUACUAUAUAGAACUGUCAGGAGAAAAAUAUUUGAAACCUGAGAAUAGGCAAAGAUUUCAUAGGUCACAAUUAUAAUGAUAUGCCAGCAUCACUUGUCCAUGACAAGGUGCUUUACAGAGGCCAUUGUCUCCUUUUAGCUAGGCAGUGAAAAGCACAUUACAAGUAAAGAAAACAGCAGUUUUCUUAGACUGUUUACUUUGCAAUAAAGGAAUACCUGAAACUGGGUAAUUUAUAAAGAACAGGGGUUUAUUUGGCUCAUGCUUCUGCAGCCUAUACAGGAAGCAUAGGGCCUCAGAAGCUUCCAAUCAUGGCAGCAGGUGAAGGGGAGCCAGUAUAUCACGUAGUGAGAGAGGGAGCAAGAGAGAGAAGGAAGUCUCAGGCUCUUUUAAAUAACCAGAUCUUGGGCGAAUUGGUAGAGCAAGAACUCCCUCAUUACUGCAAGGAUGGCACCAGGCCACUCAAGAGGGAUCCACCCCUGUGAUGCAAACACCUCCCACUAGGCCCACCUCCAACAUUGGGGUUGCCAUUCCAACGUGAGAUUUGUAGGGCACAAGUAUCCAAACUAUAUCAAUGUCCUCUGAGUGUGUGUGUGUGCACGCGUGAACUCAUGGGGUUUCUUAUUCUCAUAAAUUCUGGCAGUCCUCUAUUAAUUACUUACUUCAGACACAAAUUAUAACCAGAUAUGGGACAAUAUAGUUACUAGGGAAAAAAGUUUACUUUCUAAAAAGAAUUGGCAUAUUCUUUGGUUAAUUAAGAGGAGAAAGUAUCCAGAACCCUUUUCCAGUUCUCUUUGCAGAAGCGUAUAAUUGCUUUAAGGGUCUUUCUGGCGAAAAGUGAUUAGAGGAUACAUUCCGCCAAGCACCAGGCUGCUCCCUCGGCAUGUCCCCCACUUCUGCUGAUGCACUAACGUGUCUCAAAUCAGUUGCCAAUUGGCAGGUGAAUCCUAUAAAACUGCAAACCUCUGGUGGAGAAACAUUAUAUAAAAGGAAUGUAAUUGCAGGAAGCUUUCCACCUGCCCCAUUCUAGAGGCAUCGCAAAGCAGAUUUUGUCUAAAGGCUUACCAGAAAGUGAGAGGGCUCCAAAAGGACUUAGAAGGCCCAUCAAGCACAACCUGGCAUUGUUCAUCCCUAAUAAUUAUAUGUGCAGAGUUUUAUAGUAGCUCUUCUCCUAGUGGUUCUUUUCAUCAGCCUUGUCAAUGGAGUGAGAAUAAACCUCCCUUCCUGUCUGCCACCCCACCCCACCCCCACUGUGAAGCACCUGGGUUUUGUGUGGGGUUGACUCCCCCGUGCAUCCCAGCAUCAGCCCGGGCCUGACCAGUCUAGCCCAAUCAGGGCAUCCCCCACUCCCCUUGCUGUGGUAUUUUGUUCAGGGAUGAACUCCUGCAGAGAGAGUAUGUCUUCAUCAGAGACAACUGGCAGGCCUGCCCUGCCGAGGAAAGCCAGCCUGAAGACAAAGCCCACACAGGGCAAGAGAAACUAAGAGAAGUUAAGACAGAACCAGAACCCUGAUCAAACCACACCUGGAGCCCACCAAGCAUUUGUGUCGCAAAAACUUAGUGAAUCCCAUCUAAUGUUCAAACCUGUGCAUUGGAUUAGGUUUUUAGUACCCUGCACCCAAAACCUCCUCACUAAAAUACUACAUAUCCUCUGAAAUAUUAAACAAAAGAGAAUGGAAACUACCAACUACUCAUGUAAUGAGUUUUAGAAAUCCUGGCCUUGAAAGAUGUUGUGUUCAGGAACGACUAUAUAACCAACAUAGGUUGUAUAUUUUCAUGGGGCAAUGACACCUCUAAUAAUUCACGCAUCAUUUUCUACUCACGCACUGCUUACUUCUAUAAGGAUUUCACAUGGCUUACAACAAAAUACCUAUAUAUUAGGAUAAUAAAAUAAGAGUUAAUUAUCCAGGGGAAAAGAUGGAUAUAUCAGAAAACAUCAGUGAAGUAUAACUCUUAGGUUGGAACAUACAAUUUAGCUCCGAGCAUUCUGUCAGCCAAGGUUAAAAUUAUUACAGGUUGAGUAUCCCUACUCUGGAAAGCUGAAAUCUGAAAUGCUCUAAAAUCCAAAACUUUUUAAGUACCAACAUGAUGCUCAAAAGAGACGCUCAUUGGAGCAUUUCCAAUUUUAGAUUUUUUGACUUAGGGAUGCUGAACAACUAAAUGUAAUGCAAAUAUUCCAAAAUCUGAAAAAUAUUGAAAUCUGCAACACUUCUGGUUUCAAGCAUUUCAGAUAAGGGAUACUCAACUCAACCUGUAUCUUACUAUCUGAAAAAGAAAAAUAUCUAUGUUUGCUGGGAGGUAUGACGCUUUUUCCUAGCAGUAGUAAGUAAGCUCUAGAGCAGCUGUAGUCAGUUUGGGAAGUUUAGGCCCUUGAAUGCUGACAUUAGCUGAACCACUUUAGCUUAUCUGUAUUUAGAGCAUCACCAAAAGUGUUGACAUUAAUCUAUGUACUGGCAGUGUUAGAAUGUUAUCAGAUUCUGGCAGAGAAAUGUUUACAUCAGCACUUGCAAGAAAGUAGGGCGGGGUGCAGUGAGUUUUUCAAGGAAGUACAAUGUGAUCCCAGCCCCACAGGGUUGUUGUCAGCAGCAGCAGGAGGGCACACUGAGGGCUUGAACUCUGCAGCCCCUCUGUACCCUGAGGACAAACAGGGUAGGGAGGUGGAGAAGCAGAGAGAUGAAAAAGGAGGAGGGAAACCAUGUGGGGGAGUCCUCAGAAGGGCAGCUAAGCUGCAAAACCCUAAAGUAUGCAACUGGAAAGGGAAGGGGUACUUCAUUGAGCAUGUGCUGGCACAGAAGAGAAAUACAGAAACACCGAGAAGUCUUGCCCACCUUAAAAGAUAAAAGGGAGAUUUGCACACAGUUUAAACAAGGAGAGCAUUGUUGGAUAACCAUAGCUAAUCUUUACUGAUCACAACACUCCAUAAGGUAAGCACUAUUAUUACCCCUGUUACACUGACAAGAAAAGUAAUGUUUAUGUGCCCAAAAUCUCAUGGCUAAUCAGUGAUGGAGCUAGGGACCUGAUCCCAGGUAGUCCAGCUCCAAAGCCAGCUGCUCACUUCUGGUGACUAUGACCAUCCCAUCUACCCUGCUCUGACUGGAGCUGCAACUGUGGGAGACAGUUUCAUGUGAGCUGUGACAGCAUCCCCAACCCCAGCUUGUGCUGUCUCACAUAAUCCCACUCUAUGCAGCCCAGAAGUGCAAGAUAGUGAACUGCCCCAGGUAGCCUUCAACCAAUUGGCAAUGGAAGCAAAUGGAGAAAUGCUCUAGGCUCCUGGCCUACAGCAGAUGGUUCUGAGAGGCCUUCUGUGUGCUAACUCCAGGCCUGACAGAAUCGAGCUCCACCAACUUUAGAGGUAACCUCUGCUUCCUCUCUACCCCAUGCUCCCUUCUUUGGGAAUCACAUCCCAAAUAAACUAGCUGAGACAUCCUUGUCUCAGGCUCUGCAAGAAAGGAAACUUAAAGCAAGAGAAGGCAUCUGCAUUAUAGGACAUCAGAGAUCAGAAAGGAUCUCAUCAAAUUCUCAGCAGGUUCAUAUUUGAUUGUUAAAGUCAUUGACCACUGUCCUGCUCUGGAGAAAGAAGUUGCAGAGGAGGAAGAGGUUUUCAGGGAAAUAUUGGCUCAGGGCUCAGCCAAAGGCAAAAGAUUUCAAUGAACAAAUAUGUCUGACUGAGCUACAUAUUUUCUAAACAAUGACUUGUCUAUUUCAAAGUGAGUCAUGACAAGAAUCACUGGACCAUGGAGUUCUUGGAUAAUGUGUGGUGUUCUCAGAUAAAUGUAUUUCUUUCUCUCGGGUAUUUAUAUAAAGCUGAUAAAAUGGGUUUGUUUACUGUUGCUUGCCAGUUUCCCUGUAAGUGGUGCACAUGCCCUUGAUUUUAAGCUGGAAAAAAGGGACACAUUGAUUCUUAGGGAAUAUUCUAAUGCUAUAGGUAUCCACUAAAAAAUUAAAAAACAAAAACAGAACCUUUGGUGCCUAGGGAAAAAUCUAAUCUUUUCCAGGCUCUCCAAGGUGUCACAUUUUUACCAGCUCUUUGCAAAGUAUAAGUCAAUGCAUGGCUGAGAAAGAGACUUUCAUGAUUGCAUUAUAUUUAUGCAAAUGUAUCUAAUGGUUAUUACAGACCUAGGGGUUUGCCUGAGGACAGCAAAUGACUCAACUGCUGCAUAUGUGGGGCUCCUCUUGAGCAAGGGAAGAGUCCAAGAUAUUGCCUGUGCUUGGAAUUCAGUGAAAAAGUAAACUAUCAAGGAAGCCAUGGAGGAACUGUAGUCUCGUAUUACGUUGGCAAAGGUACACUCAGCAGACAAAGUUGGCCUUGGAUAAAACCUCGAAAUGGCGAAGGAUGCAUCUCCUGCAUAUUGUAACAACUUCAAUAUCAGUAAGAUAGAAGAGCAGGCUGAAGAAAUACAUUGUGUUCAAGAUGCAUAAAUAGACAAUGUUUGGGAAGUCAGUGGAAAAUCAAAGGACACAGAGAAAGGCAGAGAAAAAGAAAAAGGUGGAGUUUUUCUGGCAUUUAAUAAAGUGUUAUGCAUUGUGGAAAAAGAUUGCUUCUGCUUAUAACUCAUUGAUUAAUUUUGAAGAAAAAGCAGCCACGUUAAACUACCUCCAGGUCAGAUGCCCCACAGUUUCAUUUGCACUUCUGUGAGAAAGAGGCAAACAGGUAAUUAGCCCAACCCUUGGAACUCUUCUCAGCCAGCAUGGACUCCCAGAGCACUAACCAACCCAUUGGGGCUUCCUCCCCAUCCUACCCAGAAUAAAACCAAUUUAUUCAGUUCAGUGAGGUCAAAACAUGCGGGGAGAUUUUGGAAAGAUUUCUGUUCAAAGAUACAGGGCAUGUGGAUGUAAAGGAUUGACAUUUAUUUAUUUAUUUAUUUAUUUAUUUAUUUAUUUAUUUUUAUUUUUUGAUACCGAGUCUCU
rnacentral:lncRNA from 1 species